rnacentral:rRNA from 1 species
GACGAACGCUGGCGGCGUGCUUAACACAUGCAAGUCGAACGGAAAGGCCCUGCUUUUGUGGGGUGCUCGGGUGGCGAACGGGUGAGUAACACGUGAGUAACCUGCCCUUGACUUUGGGAUAACUUCAGGAAACUGGGGCUAAUACCGGAUAGGAGCUCCUGCUGCAGGGUGGGGGUUGGAAUGUUUAGGCGGUUGUGGCUGAUUGCGGGGGUUGUGAGCUUGUUGGUGGGGUGGUGGCUUACCAAGGCUUUGACGGGUAGCCGGCCUGAGAGGGUGGCGGGCACGAAUGGGACUGAGAUACGGGCCAGCCUGCUACGGGAGGGAACAGUGGGGAAUAUUGUGCAGUGGGCGGAAGGCGGAUGGAGCAACGCCGCGUGGGGGGUGACGGCCUUCGGGUAGUAAACCGCGUUCGCCUGUGACGAAGCGUGAGUGACGGUAGUGGGUAAAGAAGCACCGGCUAACUACGUG